UGUGAUGCAAAGGGAGGAGAUGGGAGACUAGGAAAUAACGUCAGAAUUGCCCAAGAAGGGUUCCUCCUGAAAGUCAGAAGCGGUUGUCCUCUGGCCAGGGAAAUACAGAGUUCUGAAAGAGGACAGGUGAGGUGUUGGUCUCCGGCAGAAAGACUCUCUCUCUUCUUUGGGUCAUUGGCAGCUGAGGAGGGAGGUGGAGUGCAAGACGCCUGCUUGCUCACGUGAGUCUGGAAUGGGACAGAGAGAGCUGUUACCUGAGGAUGCAGAGUUGUCCCUCUGUGCAUACUCGAUGUCAGCAUCGACUCCAGCAGCCAGCUAGCUGCAGGCCUGAACACUUCGAGGCCCUCACACACUGUAUGGGACACAGCUCCAGCCCCAGUGGCUCCCAAAGCCUUCCUGACAGCCCCCUGGGCUAGCCUGAAGAAGAGGUCCCUGGGCUAGCCUGAAGCAGAGCUUCCCUGAAAGGCACCAUCAGACUUUGUAAGAAAGUGAUAGAUGGCUUUAAGCAGCAAUUUAAUUCUUGAAUGAGAAAGUAUGGCAUUCAAAACACUCAAGCGACACAUUUGUGAAAAAGCCCUGAUGAGUGUUUACAGUUAUUUUCCAAACACAAAAUGAACUGGAAAAAGAAGAAACCUCACAACCAUUAUUUAAGUACUGAUAUAAAAGAAAAGUUUAACUCUGUGUGUUCAGGGGUCUACAGCAUGUGGAACAAAAUCCUCCUCAUGUUCCUCCACCUGGGGUUCACUGAGAAAAGACAGGGAGGCCAGAAGAACAGACACACGGACACAGGCACACACGAUUGAUUCUCUAAUGUGUUUCCCAAUAACUACAUCAUUAAAUUUAGCUAAAGCUUUCCAACA